CGCUGGCGGCAUGCUUUACACAUGCAAGUCGAACGGCAGCACGGGGCAACCUGGUGGCGAGUGGCGAACGGGUGAGUAAUAUAUCGGAACGUACCCAGAAGUGGGGGAUAACGUAGCGAAAGUUACGCUAAUACCGCAUACGAUCUACGGAUGAAAGUGGGGGAUCGCAAGACCUCAUGCUUUUGGAGCGGCCGAUAUCUGAUUAGCUAGUUGGUGAGGUAAAGGCUCACCAAGGCGACGAUCAGUAGCUGGUCUGAGAGGACGACCAGCCACACUGGGACUGAGACACGGCCCAGACUCCUACGGGAGGCAGCAGUGGGGAAUUUUGGACAAUGGGCGCAAGCCUGAUCCAGCAAUGCCGCGUGAGUGUAGAAGGCCUUCGGGUUGUAAAGCUCUUUUGUCAGGGAAGAAACGGGCCUGGUUAAUACCUGGGCUUAAUGACGGUACCUGAAGAAUAAGCACCGGCUAACUACGUGCCAGCAGCCGCGGUAAUACGUAGGGUGCAAGCGUUAAUCGGAAUUACUGGGCGUAAAGCGUGCGCAGGCGGUUUUGUAAGUCUGACGUGAAAUCCCCGGGCUUAACCUGGGAA
rnacentral:rRNA from 1 species